rnacentral:rRNA from 1 species
ACUCCUACGGGAGGCAGCAGUGGGGAAUAUUGGACAAUGGGCGCAAGCCUGAUCCAGCCAUGCCGCGUGAGUGAAGAAGGUCUUCGGAUUGUAAAGCUCUUUUGCCAGGGACGAUAAUGACGGUACCUGGAGAAUAAGCCCCGGCAAACUUCGUGCCAGCAGCCGCGGUAAU